GUGCCAACAUUACAGUAAGUUCUUUUGAAUUUAGAACUCGCUGUUGGUGCGUAAAUAUUGGUGAAGGUGAGUACCUCCGUUCUGUUGGUUGGAUUUGCGGUUUACGUAAGGAGGGAAAUAUUUAGGGUUGGCUUCCAUAGGCAUUGUUACAGUGGGUUUAACUAUACCAUGGCAAGGAAAACUCGUAUUCAGCUUCAAGUAUGCUGAGAUCUGUAAAAAAAUACUCGGAAAGAUGAAUAAUAAUUGCGCAGAUGCGACUUUCGGUAUAGUUAUUUUAGAAAUGAAAUUGUGCCAAAUAUACUAAAUUACGAGGUUGAUAAUUGAAAUGAAAUGGAAAAAAGAGCGACUAAGGUACACAAUUAACAUUUGGUUCUUAACUGAUGAAUCCUGUGUUAAUGACCGACAUGAAGGUUUGAUUGGGUACUUAACUUUUCUCUCAACUUCUGGUGGUCCAUAAUCAAGAAAUGGCGAAGACUGCGAGUUUCAUUCAUGUUAUAAGUACAGAUUGUUAGGAAUGAAGUUGCUGCAAAUAUCGCUAUUCACGAGGUCGAUUAUCAUGAAAUGGAAUAGGAGUUUCCUGUAGUGAUGGCAGUUGGAGGGGCGUUCGAAAUUUUCUUUUUCCUUAAAAUUUUCUUGUGUUAACAAUAGUAAAAGUUGUUUUUGUGAUGUGAUAUGUAGUCUUUGUUUUGCCAUUAAGCCAUGUUUCCUCUUUACUUGUGAUAACUCCGUAGGCAGUUGUGAUGUUUUGGCAUUAACGUAUCUCAGAAAUAUCAAUAAAACACAUUUUGAAACAUA